rfam:Triticum aestivum genome assembly, contig: Triticum_aestivum_CS42_TGACv1_scaffold_049713_1BS
UUAGUACUCCCUCCGUCCGAAAAUACUUGUCGGAGGAAUGGAUGUAUCUAGACGCAAUUUAGUUCUAGAUACACCCAUUUUCAUCCAUUUCUCCGACAAGUAUUUCUGGAUGGAGGGAGUAGUAG